AACUGCAAAGAUUAAAUACAUUUUCUGCAAGAAGUAAACGCGAUGCAAGUUAGUGUUUUGGUAGAAAUUAUAGCAUUUCGAUGAUGAAAAAGAAUCUCAGUCGGGAAAGAAGAAAAUAGGUUGAAGAAGACAAUUGUGAAGAUAUUAUUUUGAAUAAGCAAAAACAUAACAGAUCUGACAACAAAUGCAGAUGCAAUUUUCAGGUGUUAACAUUGGAUAUGUCUUACAAGCAUAAAAACUAACUGAUACAGGACAUUCUACUAGAGAUUGUAGAUCUCCAUAUUUUAUGAAGAAAUUUAGGAAAUUUAGAUAAGAAGUAGUAUUUUACUUAUUUAGGAGUUUGUGAUGAUUUAGUAUUCCUAAUUAGUGUCGGUUUAGUAUUCAUUAUUUCGGGAUAUUAUAAAUACCUGUGCAAUCUAGCCAUUUUAGUAGAGCUAAUAUUAUUGACAAUUGAUAAUUAAUCAAAUUUGAGAGUUUAUUUCUUAUCCCCUUUGAGUGUUCUUUGUGGUUCUACACCACUAAACUUGCUAACAACCAUCAUAAUUUAAAGCAACCAAAAAGUGCACAUGGGUGCACAGUUCAAGUGUUGGCUGGUUGGUACUGCUUUGUUUUGCGAAGGCAGAACAAACUAACACCCAAACUGAGCAGACCAAGCGCAAGACAUGUUGAGAGUGAAACUGUAAUAAAUAGAACAUAAUAAGUGUGCAACUUGUUUGGGAGAAGUAACACUAAAACUUCAUAGAGCCGAAAGGGAAGCAGCAUUUUGAAGCAAAAGACCUAAUCCAGAUCAAAUCUAAAUGUUAUCGGAUUAAGAAAUUAUAGUACUAUUCCUUUGGCACGCUUUUAUUAUUCUAAAAUCAAGUAAAGCCAAAUGCAAAUCAACUCUGUGUGGGUGUGUAUCUGUAUUUAUUACUUUAAAAUUAAGCAAGGAACAUGAAAGGAAUUCUCUGUCUCUGUGUCUCAAGUCUUAUCUCUCUCUCAAAAACAUAGAGAAGCAAACAAUACUGGCAAUUAAAAUUCAAAUGGAAAAUUCAUAUGGUACUUCGAUAAUUAAGCAAAUGUCUGU
rnacentral:misc_RNA from 1 species